rnacentral:rRNA from 1 species
AAUAAUGACGGUACCCGAGUAAAAAGCCCUGACUAACUUCGUGCCAGCAGUCGCGGUAAAACGGAGAGGGCAAGUGUUAUUCGUAUUGACUGGGUGUAAAGGGUACGUAGGCGGUUAUUUAAGUUAUAAAAAAAAGCUAUAUCUUUUUAUAAUACUAUAUGACUAGAGUUAAAAAGGGGAUGGCGGNNCCUCNAGUUUAGAAGUGACAUUCNUUUGAGAUU